UACGAAGGGGGCUAGCGUUGCUCGGAAUCACUGGGCGUAAAGGGUGCGUAGGCGGGUCUUUAAGUCAGGGGGGAAAUCCUGGAGCUCAACUCCAGAACUGCCUUUGAUACUGAAGAUCUUGAGUUCGGGAGAGGUGAGUGGAACUGCGAGUGUAGAGGUGAAAUUCGUAGAUAUUCGCAAGAACACCAGUGGCGAAGGCGGCUCACUGGCACGAUACUGACGCUGAGGCACGAAAGCGUGGGGAGCAAACAGG
rnacentral:rRNA from 1 species